CUGGACCGCACGCCCCAUUGAUCAUAUACAACUUGUCUAGUAGAAAAAAAAAAAACGGAGUUUAAGAGAUCAAUUUGUUAUAUCCUGUUUUUGUUCCACACAAUGGCAACUCCAGGAUUCAAGCUACAUAGCAGAUAAAGUUUACCUGAGUCACAAUACCACUGGUGGAUAAUUGUUUAUAUCCUGUUUAAUUUAUAAUAAAGUGGCCCUCUCAGUUUACCUGAGUCACAAUACCACUGCUGGAUAAUUGUUCAUAUCCUGUUUAUGCAGUCAUGAAAUCAUUACUUUUUGGUUUUUUCAUU
rnacentral:lncRNA from 1 species